rnacentral:rRNA from 1 species
AGCGGCGGACGGGUGAGUAAUACUUAGGAAUCUACCUAGUAGUGGGGGAUAGCACGGGGAAACUCGUAUUAAUACCGCAUACGACCUACGGGAGAAAGGGGGCAGUUUACUGCUCUCGCUAUUAGAUGAGCCUAAGUCGGAUUAGCUAGAUGGUGGGGUAAAGGCCUACCAUGGCGACGAUCUGUAGCUGGUCUGAGAGGAUGAUCAGCCACACCGGGACUGAGACACGGCCCGGACUCCUACGGGAGGCAGCAGUGGGGAAUAUUGGACAAUGGGGGAAACCCUGAUCCAGCCAUGCCGCGUGUGUGAAGAAGGCCUUUUGGUUGUAAAGCACUUUAAGCAGUGAAGAAGACUCUUCGGUUAAUACCCGGAGACGAUGACAUUAGCUGCAGAAUAAGCACCGGCUAACUCUGUGCCAGCAGCCGCGGUAAUACAGAGGGUGCAAGCGUUAAUCGGAAUUACUGGGCGUAAAGCGAGCGUAGGUGGCUUGAUAAGUCAGAUGUGAAAUCCCCGGGCUUAACCUGGGAACUGCAUCUGAAACUGUUAGGCUAGAGUAGGUGAGAGGGAAGUAGAAUUUCAGGUGUAGCGGUGAAAUGCGUAGAGAUCUGAAGGAAUACCGAUGGCGAAGGCAGCUUCCUGGCAUCAUACUGACACUGAGGCUCGAAAGCGUGGGUAGCAAACAGGAUUAGAUACCCUGGUAGUCCACGCCGUAAACGAUGUCUACUAGUCGUUGGGUCCCUUGAGGACUUAGUGACGCAGCUAACGCAAUAAGUA